UUUCAGGUUGAAGAUCAGUUCGACAAGGCGGAGCAGGUGGUGAACUACAACAAAACACAUCUCCUUCUGAAGGAGUGUGAGGAGGUGGUCCUCUACAAAACAACCGACUCUCAGGGAGAAGAUCACACAGCUAAGUGUUCCACCAUCUGCCGUAAGAAGCUGCCUGAACCAGCAGGAACAGGU